rnacentral:rRNA from 1 species
GGGGGGAAUAACNCACCGAAAAGGGUNUGCUAANUCCNGCNNUAAUCUNUACGGAGAAAAAGCAGGGGAUCGCAAGACCNUGCGCUCUUGGAGCGGCCGAUGUCUGAUUAGCUAGUUGGUGAGGUAAAGGCUUACCAAGGCGACGAUCAGUAGCUGGUCUGAGAGGACGACCAGCCACACUGGGACUGAGACACGGCCCAGACUCCUACGGGAGGCAGCAGUGGGGAAUUUUGGACAAUGGGGGAAACCCUGAUCCAGCCAUGCCGCGUGAGUGAAGAAGGCCUUCGGGUUGUAAAGCUCUUUCAGCCGGAACGAAACGGUCACGGCUAAUACCUGUGACUACUGACGGUACCGGAAGAAGAAGCACCGGCUAACUACGUGCCAGCAGCCGCGGUAAU